GUACGCCGCUGACUGGGC
rnacentral:misc_RNA from 1 species